ACGGAAGGCAGCAGUGAGGAAUAUUGGUCAAUGGACGGAAGUCUGAACCAGCCAAGUCGCGUGAAGGAUGAAGGUAUUAUGUAUUGUAAACUUCUUUAGCAGUGGAGUAAUAAGGGGAUCGCGAUCCCUGAUGCAAGUACACUGAGAAUAAGGAUCGGCUAACUCCGUGCCAGCAGCCGCGGUAAUACGGAGGAUCCGAGCGUUAUCCGGAUUUAUUGGGUUUAAAGGGUGCGCAGGCGGCUUCUUAAGUCAGUGGUUAAAUCGUGACGCUCAACGUCAUCACGCCAUUGAUACUGGAGAGCUUGAUUGCGGUCGAGGUUUGCGGAAUUCGUUGUGUAGCGGUGAAAUGCAUAGAUAUGACGAAGAACACCGAUUGCGUAGGCAGCAGACUAGGCCGUAAAUGACGCUCAUGCACGAAAGUGCGGGGAUCGAACAGGAUUAGAUACCCUGGUA
rnacentral:rRNA from 1 species